AUUGACCGCUGGCGGCAGGCCUAACACAUGCCCGUCGAGCGGAGCGGCGGACGUGUGAGUAAUGCCUAGGAAUCUGCCUGGUAUUGGGGGAUAACGUCCGGAAACGGGCGCUAAUACCGCAUAAUAUCAGAGGAGCCUAGGUCGGAUUAGCUCGUUGGUGGGGUAAAGGCCUACCAAGACGACGAUCCGUAACUGGUCUGAGAGGAGGAUCAGUAACACUGGAACUGAGACACGGUCCAGAUUCCUACGGAAGGCUGCAGUGGGGAAUAUGGGAAAAUGGGCGAAAGCCUGAUCCAGCCAUGCCGCGUGUGUGAAGAAGGUCUUCGGAUUGUAAAGCACUUUAAGUUGGGAGGCGUGACCAAAAGAAUAAGCACCGGCUAACUUCGUGCCAGCAGCCGCGGUAAGAA
rnacentral:rRNA from 1 species